CCUACGGGAGGCAGCAGUGGGGAAUAUUGCACAAUGGGGGAAACCCUGAUGCAGCAACGCCGCGUGAGUGAAGAAGUAUUUCGGUAUGUAAAGCUCUAUCAGCAGGGAAGAAGAAAGACGGUACCUGACUAUGAAGCCCCGGCUAACUACGUGCCAGCAGCCGCGGUAAUACGUAGGGGGCAAGCGUUAUCCGGAUUUACUGGGUGUAAAGGGAGCGUAGACGGCUGUGCAAGUCUGAAGUGAAAGCCCGUGGCUCAACCGCGGAACUGCUUUGGAAACUGGAUAGCGUGAGUGCUGGAGAGGCAGGCGGAAUUCCUAGUGUAGCGGUGAAAUGCGUAGAUAUUAGGAGGAACACCAGUGGCGAAGGCGGCCUACUGGACAGAAACUGACGUUGAGGCUCGAAAGCGUGGGGAGAAAACAGGAUUAGAUACCCUGGUAGUC
rnacentral:rRNA from 1 species